ACAACCCUGUCUUGAUUGAU
rnacentral:miRNA from 1 species